AGAGUGGGUUCAGAUGGCUCCAACUCUAUUUUCUAAAUUUAUUCCAAACAUUCUCCCUCCGGCAGUGGAAUCUGAACUUUCUGAAUAUGCUGCUCAAGAUCAGAAACUUCAAAGAGAACUUAUACAGAAUGGUUUUACAAGAGGUGACCAGUCCCGGAAGAGAGCUGGGGAUGAGUUGGCUUAUAACAGCUCAUCAGCAUGUGCAAGUUCCAGAGGGUACAGAUAGUAAACGUAUUGAAUGUACUUUCCUCCUGAAAAGAGGACACACUGGAGCUGCAGAGACUGUAUUCAGAGCACAGUGGGGGCCUGCAGACACUCAGGAGCUCUGUCACAAAGCUGUUCUUGGAAGAGGAUGUUGGACUUCUUACUUUGGUUUGUAAUUUUAAAAAACAGAAAUUAACAAAAAACAAAAACAUAAAAACAGUUGCUGCUAGACUUGGGGGUGAUUUUGAAAUGGGACAAUCUUUUAAUGAGUUUAUCUACAGAUUCUGAAAAGAACAAGCAUCUUGGAAAGUGAUCAUUGCUAAGUGAAAUCCAACAGCCAAAAUCAGCAGCCUCCUCCAAAAAUAUAACAGCAGAAGAAUCUUUUUU